UAAAUACCACAGGAGGUCAACAAUAGGC
rnacentral:piRNA from 1 species